rnacentral:rRNA from 1 species
GACGAACGCUGGCGGCGUGCUUAACACAUGCAAGUCGAACGGAAAGGCCAGUGCUUGCACUGGUACUCGAGUGGCGAACGGGUGAGUAACACGUGGGUGAUCUGCCUUGCACUCUGGGAUAAGCUUGGGAAACUGGGUCUAAUACCGGAUAUGAACUGCCUCUAGAGUGGUGGUUGGAAAGAUUUUUCGGUGCAGGAUGGGCUCGCGGCCUAUCAGCUUGUUGGUGGGGUAUUGGCCUACCAAGGCGUCGACGGGUAGCCGGCCUGAGAGGGUGUACGGCCACAUUGGGACUGAGAUACGGCCCAGACUCCUACGGGAGGCAGCAGUGGGGAAUAUUGCACAAUGGGCGGAAGCCUGAUGCAGCGACGCCGCGUGGGGGAUGACGGCCUUCGGGUUGUAAACUCCUUUCGACAGGGACGAAGCGUAAGUGACGGUACCUGUAAAAGAAGCACCGGCUAACUACGUG